GGAAGAUUGGCCGAGUGGUAAGGCAGCGGUUUGCUAAACCGUACAGGGGUAAAAGCCUGCGCAAGUUCGAGUCUUGCAUCUUCCG